rnacentral:tRNA from 1 species
CGGGGCGUAGCGCAGUCUGGUAGCGCAACAGUCUGGGGGACUGUGGGUCGUGGGUUCAAAUCCCGCCGCUCCGACCA